CCUACGGGAGGCAGCAGUGGGAAUAUUGCACAAUGGGCGAAAGCCUGAUGCAGCAACGCCGCGUGAGUGAUGAAGGCCUCCGGGUUGUAAAGCUCUGUCUUCUGGGACGAUAAUGACGGUACCAGAGGAGGAAGCCACGGCUAACUACGUGCCAGCAGCCGCGGUAAU
rnacentral:rRNA from 1 species